GAGAUCAUAAAGAUUCAAGCAGCUCUCACAAAGAACAACUCAUUAAGAAAGAGAAAAUCCCUUUGGAUGUAGAUAGAAGAUUUUAAACAGAAAAAUAUGUGAUGCUCUCUAAACUGCCCUGGCGUUCUCUUUUCAACUGGAGAUGCUAUGUAAGGACCUAAAUGGCCGUAAACAGUGGCUUAACAGUCAAAACUAGGGGCUGGGACACACAGCAACUAUCUCGACAUUCAUCAACGAAGGUUGCAGUUGAUCAGCAAUCAGGCAUUGGAAUUAGAAGAAACUCAUUUAAGACAUGUUGUCGAGCAUCUGUUAUGCAGUCAUAUUUUCCAAUUUCCACAACACAUUGUAUAUGUUCUGAACUAGAAAAUUGAACCCAUAUCUACCCCGACAAAAUUUGGCAAAGAAGUUCUCUUGGAGGCUACAAGUGUGUUAGUCAUUGUUAUUACGGAAAUGCUUAUUGCUGGGCUUAAACAAUUGAUGUUGCGGAUGAAUCCAUUCGUCCCAUUCAAAUGAGGCAGUAAUAGCAUCUAACUAAAGAAGCAAUAGUGUCGCUAUGCAGUUGAUCUCAUAAAUUUGUGAGGGUGAAGCAAUUGUCGUAGCUAAAGUAGAAGAAACGGAUCCAGGUGAAAUAGAAGCAUCCAAGAAGCCUAAACGCUUUGCUCGGGCCUAAUUAUGCUAAAUGAUUGUCAUUCAAAAUGGCUUGCCAAAGUGGACUGAAAAUCCAUUUCUAUGCUAACAUGCCACCAUCAUAUCUUUGUCUCCAUCAAAUUAAUGCUAACCCAAUGGACAAAAUGAGAACCUUAGUAUAUUACUGGGAUUGCUUCUUGCUAAUGUCGGCGAUCGCUCUAGCAACCUUGUUUGGAGGUCUGGAAUGCAGUGCUACCUCAAAAAAGGUCACUAAGAGGACCAUGAAAUGCUUCACCUACCUUGACGGUGGUUGUUAAUUGCUUCUUGCUAUCUGAGCUUGCAACUAUUCUGUUUGCAACUUUUAGUCGGUGGAAACUGUUUCUGUGGUUACCUAGAUAAUUGCUGCUGAAGGCUUUAGUUUUCUACAGCAGCGAGCAGAAGCCAACAUAUCUCCAUAUCGAUUUAAAAUUUGGAAUAGUGCUACAUGUAUACUUUCGUGUACAUAACCGUUGAUAUCUCUCUCACAUAAAAGAGAGACCACCUCCUCCAUGUGAGGGAGUGCGGGGGCAGACGCACAUAUUUUACAUUAGGAGAUUACAAUCUAUUUUUAGAAAAAAC
rnacentral:lncRNA from 1 species